UACAGAGGGGGCAAGCGUUAUUCGGAAUUAUUGGGCGUAAAGGGCGCGUAGGCGGUGCGGUAAGUCACCUGUGAAAUCUCCUGGCUCAACUGGGAGCUUGCAGGCGAAACUGCCGUGCUGGAGUGUGGGAGAGGUGCGUGGAAUUCCUGGUGUAGCGGUGAAAUGCGUAGAUAUCAGGAGGAACACCUGUGGCGAAAGCGGCGCACUGGACCACAACUGACGCUGAGGCGCGAAAGCUAGGGGAGCAAACAGG
rnacentral:rRNA from 1 species